rnacentral:rRNA from 1 species
UACGGGGGGGGGCAAGCGUUGUUCGGAAUUACUGGGCGUAAAGCGCGUGUAGGCGGCUUUUCAAGUCGGACGUGAAAGCCCCAGGCUUAACCUGGGAAUUGCGCUCGAUACUGUUGAGCUAGAGUGUGGAAGGGGCUACUGGAAUUCCGUGUGUAGCGGUGAAAUGCGUAGAUAUCGGAAGGAACAUCAGUGGCGAAAGCGGCUUCCUGGACCAGUACCGACGUUCAG